rnacentral:lncRNA from 1 species
UCACGUGCAAUUUUGAAAUUUCACUCUUGCACAUAUAUAUAGUUGAAAACAAAAAAGAAGCAAGAGAAAUAAAAAUUAAAAACAAAACGAGUAACAAAUUAGAAACCAAAAAUGGAAAAAUAAAAAGGAAACAAAAAGCGGUUAGGAGGAGGAUCGAACAAGCGACCUCUAGAACAGAUUGACUGACCAUAAACUGUUGG